rnacentral:rRNA from 1 species
CUGGCGGUAUGCUUAAGACAUGCAAGUCGAACGGAAGCCCUCGGGCUUCAGUGGCGGACGGGUGAGUAACACGUGGGAAUCUACCCAAUAGUGGGGGACAGCCCGGCGAAAGCCGGAUUAAUACCGCAUACGCCCUACGGGGGAAAGGCGCAAGCCGCUAUUGGAUGAGCCCGCGUAAGAUUAGCUAGUUGGUAAGGUAAAGGCUUACCAAGGCGACGAUCUUUAGCUGGUCUGAGAGGAUGGCCAGCCACAUCGGGACUGAGACACGGCCCGGACUCCUACGGGAGGCAGCAGUCGGGAAUAUUGGACAAUGGGCGCAAGCCUGAUCCAGCAAUACCGCGUGUGUGAAGAAGGCCUGCGGGUUGUAAAGCACUUUCAGUUGGGAAGAUAAUGACGUUACCAACAGAAGAAGCACCGGCUAACUCCGUGCCAGCAGCCGCGGUAAUACGGAGGGUGCAAGCGUUAAUCGGAAUUACUGGGCGUAAAGCGUGCGUAGGCGGCUGAUUAAGUCAGAUGUGAAAGCCCCGGGCUUAACCUGGGAACUGCAUCUGAUACUGGUCAGCUAGAAUGCGGGAGAGGAGAGUGGAAUUUCCGGUGUAGCGGUGAAAUGCAUAGAGAUCGGAAGGAACACCAGUGGCGAAGGCGGCUCUCUGGACCAACAUUGACGCUGAGGCACGAAAGCGUGGGUAGCAAACAGGAUUAGAUACCCUGGUAGUCC